CCCAGCAGAUGACCUGUACUUCUCUGUUCUCUCCCCUACUGCAAAGAGGCAGCGAGGGCAGCAUUAGUAAGCCUGACUCAGGGGAAGUAAGUAGCCUGCAGAGAAAGGGUCCUAGGUCCGCAACCGAGGCGAGUGAACUUGUCGGACAGAUGAAGACUCUAACUGGAAGAAACGAUCAGCGCAUUCAUGGAUGCACCACCAUCCAGAAAUCUCCCAGUGGCUUCCAUACAAAAACUGAUGUUUCUAAAGAUGGAAAGAACAGGUCUAGGAGGCAGGAGAGUAUCUCCUGGCAGUGUUCUGUAGCUCAAAGAAACCUGCACUGACCUUGGGCCCGUAGCGACGCUUCAGCCUCUCCCUGAUGAGCAGACCUUUGGCCAGCAGCUUCCAGUUCCCUAGAGCCCGCUUCUCCCUUUUCUGCAGGCAAAAAUGAAGUGGGAGAAAAGUGUUAAGCACUGACAUUUUCAGGAAAAAUAUUAAGAUGGAAACUGUGAACAUAAAGACAGAUAUAUACACCACUUUAAGAUACAGCCUCUCCUUCACACCAA
rnacentral:antisense_RNA from 1 species